GACGAACGCUGGCGGCGUGCCUAAUACAUGCGAGUCGAACGCACAGUUUAUACCGUAGCUUGCUACACCAUAGACUGUGAGUUGCGAACGGGAGAGUAACGCGUAGGUAACCUGCCUGGUAGCGGGGGAUAACUCUUGGAAUCGUUCGCUAUUACCGCCUAAUAUUAAUUAUUGCCUGCUAAUUAAUUGAAAGGUGCAAUUGCACCACUACCAGAUGGACCUGCGUUGUAUUAGCUAGUAGGUGAGGUAACGGCUCACCUAGGCGACGAUACAUAGCCGACCUGGGAGGGUGGUCGGCCACACUGGGACUGGGACACGGCCCAGACUCCUACGGGAAGCAGCAGUAGGGAAUCUUCGGCAAUGGACGAAAGUCUGACCGAGCAACGCCGCGUGAGUGAAGAAGGUUUUCGGAUCGUAAAGCUCUGUUGUAAGGGAAGAACGGGUGUGGGAGUGGAAAGUUCACACUGUGACGGUACCUGACCAGAAAGGGACGGCUAACUACGUG
rnacentral:rRNA from 1 species